rnacentral:rRNA from 1 species
UACGUAGGGUGCAAGCGUUGUCCGGAAUUAUUGGGCGUAAAGAGCUCGUAGGCGGUUUGUCGCGUCUGCUGUGAAAACCCGCGGCUCAACUGUGGGCGUGCGGUCGAUACGGGCAUCACUGGAGUUCGGCAGGGGAGACUGGAAUUCCUGGUGUAGCGGUGAAAUGCGCAGAUAUCAGGAGGAACACCGGUGGCGAAGGCAGCUCGCUGGGACGGUACUGACGCUGAGGCGCGAAAGCGUGGGGAGCGAACAGG